AGCAGCCGCGGUAAUUCCAGCUCCAAUAGCGUAUAUUAAAGUUGUUGCAGUUAAAAAGCUCGUAGUUGAAUUUCGGGGUUAGUASGUUGGUCAUGCCUCUGGUAUGUACUGGUCUCACUGAUUCCUCCUUCCUGAUGAAUCUUAAUGCCAUUAAUUUGGUGUUUUGGGGAAUUUGGACUGUUACUUUGAAAAAAUUAGAGUGUUUAAAGCAAGCUAACGCCUGAAUACAUUAGCAUGGAAUAAUGAAAUAGGACGUUCGAUCCUAUUUUGUUGGUUUCUAGGAUUGACGUAAUGAUUAAUAGGGAUAGUUGGGGGCAUUAGUAUUCAAUUGUCAGAGGUGAAAUUCUUGGAUUUAUUGAAGACUAACUACUGCGAAAGCAUUUGCCAAGGAUGUUUUCAUUAAUCAAGAACGAAAGUUAGGGGAUCUAARACGAUCAGAUACCGUCGUAGUCUUAACCAUAAACUAUGCCGACUAGGGAUCGGAUGAUGUUAAUUUUUUAAUGACUCA
rnacentral:rRNA from 1 species